rnacentral:rRNA from 1 species
UACGUAGGAUGCAAGCGUUGUCCGGAAUUAUUGGGCGUAAAGAGCGCGCAGGCGGUUUUACAAGUCAGAUGUGAAAUAUCCGGGCUUAACCCGGAGGGGUCAUUUGAAACUGUGAGACUAGAGUACAGCAGAGGAUAGCGGAAUUCCCGGUGUAGUGGUGAAAUGCGUAGAUAUCGGGAGGAACACCAGUGGCGAAGGCGGCUAUCUGGACCAGCACUGACACUGAGGCACAGAAGC